rnacentral:rRNA from 1 species
GCCCUCGAGAUGGGGAUAGCCAUUAGAAAUAGUGGAUAAUACCGAAUACGCUCAUGACCCUGUGGGGAUAUGAGGAAAACAGGCUACGGCCUGGCUCGAGGAUGGGCCCGCGUCCCAUUAGCUAGUUGGUGAGGUAACGGCCCACCAAGGCGACGAUGGGUAUCCGGCCUGAGAGGGUGUACGGACACAUUGGGACUGAGAUACGGCCUAAACUCCUACGGGAGGCAGCAGCUAAGAAUAUUCCGCAAUGGACGAAAGUCUGACGGAGCGACGCCGCGUGGAUGAAGAAAGGCCGGAAGGUUGUAAAAUCCUUUUGCUGAUGAAGAAUAAGUGUGGUAGGGAAUGACCGCAUGAUGACAUUAGUCGGUGAAUAAGCCCCGGCUAACUACGUGCCAGCCGCCGC